rnacentral:rRNA from 1 species
UGGGGAAUUUUGGACAAUGGGCGAAAGCCUGAUCCAGCAAUGCCGCGUGUGUGAAGAAGGCCUUCGGGUUGUAAAGCACUUUUGUCCGGAAAGAAAUCCUUGGCUCUAAUACAGUCGGGGGAUGACGGUACCGGAAGAAUAAGCACCGGCUAACUACGUGCCAGCAGCCGCGGUAAUACGUAGGGUGCAAGCGUUAAUCGGAAUUACUGGGCGUAAAGCGUGCGCAGGCGGUUUGCUAAGACCGAUGUGAAAUCCCCGGGCUCAACCUGGGGACUGCAUUGGUGACUGGCAGGCUAGAGUAUGGCAGAGGGGGGUAGAAUUCCACGUGUAGCAGUGAAAUGCGUAGAGAUGUGGAGGAAUACCGAUGGCGAAGGCAGCCCCCUGGGCCAAUACUGACGCUCAUGCACGAAAGCGUGGGGAGCAAACAGGAUUAGAUACCCUGGUAGUCCACGCCCUAAACGAUGUCAACUAGUUGUUGGGGAUUCAUUUCCUUAGUAACGUAGCUAACGCGUGAAGUUGACCGCCUGGGGAGUACGGUCGCAAGAUUAAAACUCAAAUGAAUUGACGGGGUCAUAGCUGUUUCC